rnacentral:rRNA from 1 species
CGGAUUGUAAACUCCUGUUGUUGGGGAAGAUAAUGACGGUACCAACAAGGAAGUGACGGCUAACUACGUGCCAGCAGCCGCGGUAAAACGUAGGUCACAAGCGUUGUCCGGAAUUACUGGGUGUAAAGGGAGCGCAGGCGGGAAGACAAGUUGGAAGUGAAAUCUAUGGGCUCAACCCAUAAACUGCUUUCAAAACUGUUUUUCUUGAGUAGUGCAGAGGUAGGCGGAAUUCCCGGUGUAGCGGUGGAAUGCGUAGAUAUCGGGAGGAACACCAGUGGCGAAGGCGGCCUACUGGGCACCAACUGACGCUGAGGCUUGAAAGUGUGGGUAGCAAACAGGAUUAGAUACCCUGGUAGUCCACACCGUAAACGAUGAUUACUAGGUGUUGGAGGAUUGACCCCUUCAGUGCCGCAGUUAACAAAA